rnacentral:rRNA from 1 species
GAUGAACGCUGGCGGCGUGCCUAAUACAUGCAAGUCGAGCGAACCACUUCGGUGGUGAGCGGCGAACGGGUGAGUAACACGUAGGUGAUCUGCCCAUCAGACGGGGACAACGAUUGGAAACGAUCGCUAAUACCGGAUAGGACGAAAGUUUAAAGGUGCUUCUGGCACCGCUGAUGGAUGAGCCUGCGGCGCAUUAGCUAGUUGGUAGGGUAAAGGCCUACCAAGGCGACGAUGCGUAGCCGACCUGAGAGGGUGAACGGCCACACUGGACUGAGACACGGCCCAGACUCCUACGGAGGCAGCAGUAGGGAAUCUUCGGCAAUGGGCGAAAGCCUGACCGAGCAACGCCGCGUGAAUGAUGAAGGCCUCGG